UGGUGGAGUGAUUUGUCUGGUUAAUUCCGUUAACGAACGAGACCUCAGCCUACUAAAUAGAUAGCCGAAGAGUUUAUCUCUUCGCGCUAGACUUCUUAGAGGGACUUUCGGUAUACAGCCGAAGGAAGUUUGAGGCAAUAACA
rnacentral:rRNA from 1 species